UCAAACUUGGUCAUUUAGAGGAAGUAAAAGUCGUAACAAGGUUUCCGUAGGUGAACCUGCGGAAGGAUCAUUACCGAGUUAGGGUCUUCUCAGGCCCGACCUCCCAACCCAAUGUUUAUUGAACCAUUGUUGCUUCGGCGGACCCGUCCUGUGGGACCGCCGGGGGUCUUUGUGCCCUCGGCCCGCGUCCGCCGGUGGCCUCGAUAAAUUCUGUAUUAAUCGUGUCUAUUGUCUAAGUACACAAGUCUUUAAUUAAAAAGCAAAACUUUCAACAACGGAUCUCUUGGUUCUGGCAUCGAUGAAGAACGCAGC
rnacentral:misc_RNA from 1 species